rnacentral:lncRNA from 1 species
CUUUUUUUUAAUGCUCUACCGUGUGUCUUAGUUUAAUUUCAAAGUAAGUCCAAUAAAUACACAAAAUCACAGGACUGAGCAUUGAGCAUUGUUUCCCUUUGUGUCCUCCAGCCUUUAGGACACAUUAAGGAAAGACAUGAUUCCAGGAUUCCCAUUAGAAAGGCUGCCCUGAGGCACCUGCUGGGGCUGCCAAGUCGCAGCUGUUGAUGCUGCCCCCAAGCUGCUUGGAUGAAGCGGAAGAUUCCAGAAGUCUCUUCUCCUCCACCCCUCGCCCAGGAGAGAUGCGCAAAGCAUAAAUCAUCACAGAGGAAUGAUUCUGUGUUGGAAUAUUCAGUGCACAGAGAGGUGCAUUCUGACAGGCGUGAGACAUUGUCACCCUUCCCAGGGAGCCAGUGAGGUGGCUGCACGGAGCACGCGUGUGAAGAUUCAGGAGCACGAGCAUCAGGUGACAGGAGGGGGCACGGAGGCAGCACCAGAUGGAUGUGUGCCGAGGGGAUGCUGCAGCCGGGCUGGCGAGGGAGGUCACAGGAACGGGCGCAGGCAUCUCCCUCCAGCCGCACUUGACAGGAGGGGGCACAGAGGCAGCACCAGACGGAUGCCUGCCAAGGGGACGCUGCAGCCGUGCUGGCGAGGGAGGUCACGGGAAUGGGCACAGG